AUUCACAUCUAUACUUUACAAAGGGUGAACAAUAUUAAAAAGAUGUGUGAUUUGUUCUCACAACCUUUGUUCUGUAUCAAAACUGCGGUGGGUAUGCCAGUACGGAGGACUGGUACAAGAACCAGACAGUGCUUGUUAAUUUUUCAUAAACAGUGCUUAAAUAAACAACAAUCUUGACAUUUUUCUGUAAACAGACAAAUUUAAUAGAUUUGCUUUUUUAUUGCAGACUACAGGGGGUAGGGGGCAGUGGGAAUUGUGCAGAAAUCUGGUGCCAGAGUGAUGCACUGGUUGCCUGCUUUGAUAUAUCAGGUGAUGAACAUUUAGUCAAGGGGAAGAGUCAUGUGCAACAGAGCAAAGCAGUUGCUCUUAUGCAGAGCAGCAUACAGUAACCAAAAGUGCAGAUCUUUUUGCUGGGAAAGGUCAACAGUAUGUAUGCCCACAAUGUCUCUGCCACUGUACUCAACUGAAGUCCCCUGUGAUUGAGUGCAUAAAUGUUUUUUUUGUUUUUUGUCCAAAGUGUGUUUUGUGGUAUCUGACUGAAAUGCCCUUGGUUCAGAUUCCAGCAUAACCCCACUGCAGAUUGCGUUUGCUGUUCUUGCUGCCCUUCUUGUUUUUGGUGCCAUUACAUACUACAUUUUGAAGGCCUGUCGAAAGCAGGGGCACAGGGAGCCACAGCUGGGAGGGACAGACCCACAGAGACAGCCCCAGGCACAGGAC